rnacentral:rRNA from 1 species
UACGUAGGGGGCAAGCGUUGUCCGGAAUCAUUGGGCGUAAAGCGCGCGUAGGCGGCCCGGUAAGUCCGCUGUAAAAGUCAAAGGCUCAACCUUUGAAUGUCAGUGGAUACUGCCGGGCUAGAGUCCGGAAGAGGCGAGUGGAAUUCCUGGUGUAGCGGUGGAAUGCGCAGAUAUCAGGAGGAACACCAACGGCGAAGGCAGCUCGCUAGGACGGUACUGACGCUGAGGCGCGAAAGCGUGGGGAGCGAACAGG